UACGUAGGGUACAAGCGUUGUCCGGAAUUAUUGGGCGUAAAGAGCUCGUAGGUGGUCUGUCACGUCUGCUGUGGAAACGCAAGGCUCAACCUUGCGCGUGCAGUGGGUACGGGCGGACUAGAGUGCAGUAGGGGAGUCUGGAAUUCCUGGUGUAGCGGUGAAAUGCGCAGAUAUCAGGAGGAACACCGGUGGCGAAGGCGGGACUCUGGGCUGUAACUGACGCUGGAGACGAAAGCUGGGGGAGCGAACAGG
rnacentral:rRNA from 1 species